AGUGAACGCUGGCGGUAGGCCUAACACAUGCAAGUCGAACGGCAGCACAGAGGAGCUUGCUCCUUGGGUGGCGAGUGGCGGACGGGUGAGGAAUACAUCGGAAUCUACUCUGUCGUGGGGGAUAACGUAGGGAAACUUACGCUAAUACCGCAUACGACCUACGGGUGAAAGCAGGGGACCUUCGGGCCUUGCGCGAUUGAAUGAGCCGAUGUCGGAUUAGCUAGUUGGCGGGGUAAAGGCCCACCAAGGCGACGAUCCGUAGCUGGUCUGAGAGGAUGAUCAGCACCACUGGAACUGAGACACGGUCCAGACGCCUACGGGAGGCAGCAGUGGGGGAUAUUGGACAAUGGGCGCAAGCCUGAUCCAGCCAUACCGCGUGGGUGAAGAAGGCCUUCGGGUUGUAAAGCCCUUUUGUUGGGAAAGAAAUCCAGCUGGCUAAUACCCGGUUGGGAUGACGGUACCCAAAGAAUAAGCACCGGCUAACUUCGUGCCAGCCGCCGCGGUAA
rnacentral:rRNA from 1 species